rnacentral:rRNA from 1 species
UACGUAGGGGGCUAGCGUUGUCCGGAAUCAUUGGGCGUAAAGCGCGUGUAGGCGGUCCGGUAAGUCCGCUGUGAAAGUCGGGGGCUCAACCCUCGGAUGCCGGUGGAUACUGUCGGGCUUGAGUACGGAAGAGGCGAGUGGAAUUCCUGGUGUAGCGGUGAAAUGCGCAGAUAUCAGGAGGAACACCAAUAGCGAAGGCAGCUCGCUGGGACGGUACUGACGCUAAGGCGCGAAAAGCGUGGGGAGCGAACAGG